GGGAUAUGAAUGUGAGUGAAACACAAUCCUUAUAGUUCUGCUCUACAAGAAAUGUUUUUUUUUCCUAUAGGAGUGACUUGAUGACUUCAGUGGGAAUUCCUCAUAAACAAGAAGGGGAAAAGAUCAUCUGGAAUCUUCUGAAGGCAGGAGUCAGGGCCAGAAGUCCCCAGAAAGACCUACGCGAGAAGAGAAUCUCACCCGCUGCCUUGUCUCCAGAGACCCUGUCCUACGCUGAGGUUCAGGUCCUGGUCUAUUUCUUCUGUUGCUACAGAAUGUGCAGCCAUCUCUGGAAGGUUCAGAGACCUGUUCAAGCUCUUAUCAGAGCAAAAAUAAAACUCUGUAGUUUUCCCGUCCUUCACAAGUUUUCAUUGUCUUGUGUAACAUUAGACCUGCAUUAGAUGGCCGAUGGAUAAGGGAAUGAGAUUUAGAGACUACAUAACAUGCUGUGUAGGGAGAAGAUGUGAUCAGCUGAGAGGACACUGGACACAAAUGCAAUCUGGCUCCAAGUGUUUAAGAAAUGGACCAUUAUCAAGUUUAAAUACUGGGAGUGCAAUAAGUCAGUUGCAAGUCAGGUUGUUUCUACAGAGUUUACUUCAGGCUUUGUUUCUGCUUGUAUCUUCCUCCAUUCUGCUGAUGAUACCUGCCCAUAUAUCCAUCUCUGGUUCAUAGUCCUGCUUAUAGUGCAUGGGAAAUACUCCCAGUCUUUCCCAAGUCAUCACCUUUUCAACAUGAAAUUCCCCCCUAAAACCUCACUUCUUCAGUAUUGACCAUAAAAAAU
rnacentral:lncRNA from 1 species